rnacentral:rRNA from 1 species
GAUGAACGCUGGCGGCGUGCCUAAUACAUGCAAGUCGAGCGAACAGAUGAGGAGCUUGCUCCUCUGACGUUAGCGGCGGACGGGUGAGUAACACGUGGAUAACCUACCUAUAAGACUGGGAUAACUUCGGGAAACCGGAGCUAAUACCGGAUAAUAUAUUGAACCGCAUGGUUCAAUAGUGAAAGACGGUUUUGCUGUCACUUAUAGAUGGAUCCGCCCCGCAUUAGCUAGUUGGUAAGGUAACGGCUUACCAAGGCAACGAUGCGUAGCCGACCUGAGAGGGUGAUCGGCCACACUGGAACUGAGACACGGUCCAGACUCCUACGGGAGGCAGCAGUAGGGAAUCUUCCGCAAUGGGCGAAAGCCUGACGGAGCAACGCCGCGUGAGUGAUGAAGGUCUUCGGAUCGUAAAACUCUGUUAUUAGGGAAGAACAAAUGUGUAAGUAACUAUGCACGUCUUGACGGUACCUAAUCAGAAAGCCACGGCUAACUACGUG